AUUUCGGGAAAUAUUUACAAAACACAGCACUUUGCCAACUCGUAAGAGGAAGUAUAAGGUGUGACGCCUGCCCGGUGCUCGAAGGUUAAGAGGAUGCGUCAGUCGCAAGAUGAAGCGUUGAAUUGAAGCCCGAGUAAACGGCGGCCGUAACUAUAACGGUCCUAAGGUAGCGAAAUUCCUUGUCGGUUAAAUACCGACCUGCAUGAAUGGCGUAACGAGAUGGGAGCUGUCUCAACCAGAGAUUCAGUGAAAUUGUAGUGGAGGUGAAAAUUCCUCCUACCCGCGGCAAGACGGAGAGACCCCGUGGACCUUUACUACAACUUAGCACUGCUAACGGGAAUAUCAUGCGCAGGAUAGGUGGGAGGCUUUGAAGUAAGGGCUUUGGCUCUUAUGGAGA
rnacentral:rRNA from 1 species